UAAAUGUUGCAUUGGGGAAGGUGGCCCUUCUUCCUGAGCCUUGGCGUCACCCGCCCGCACGUCCAGCCCUGGGCACCACCGCAGGCGGGAGGGUCCAGCCGCGCCCAGGAAAACCACUCUGGCCUCUGGGGGUGUGACAACUCCUUUCUUCUGGAAAACCCGGCGUUUUCCCCAACGGUGGAUCCCCAGGCCGUUCUCCGUACCAGUAAAAACAUCCAGAUGACACAGCCCGAGGACGUCUUGUUCGUGUCCUCCAGAGGUUUUGCCUCCCCGUCUGGUGGAACUUUGAUGGACAAGGCUGCAGAAUGGCACCCUCGCGGACCCCAGUGACAGCUCCCUGGGUCCCUGGGAAGACAGCAGUGACAAAGCUGAUACACGGUUGAGAUUAGGGAUGCUGCUCAGAGAUACCACUGGCGACUUCCUUCCCAGGGGUAACGUGACUCGGCUGUCAGGUCUGCUCCUCUGCCCGUUCUCCUGGCUCAGUGGGUGGCAUUCUUCUUUGUGACGGGGCGGCUGGGGGCCUGCGGGCAGCGGGGAGACUUCAGGACCGUGUCUGGGAGCGCGGGCGAGAUUUCGAAGGAGGGCUCUCCCGUCCGUGGCUGUCCUGGACGUGCAGUUCCGCACAAGGAGGUGCUUCCCCCUGCAUCCUCCCGCUUCGGACUCCCAGCUACCCUGUCAGCUAGAAAGAUCUGUAUUACGCCCUUUCGCUCGCGUGGGGACGAAGGCUCAGAGAGAAGGGAACACGAGGGGACACCGCUCCCUCCUCCGGAAGGGACCCGCGCCGGGCACCAGGCCAGCUGCUGCGUCUGGGCCCAGAUGAAAUGCACGCAGCUGCGGGUGUCCCCCAGAGGCCGACUCCGGAACCCCACUGUCUGACCGCAGAGGAAGGGACGUGCGGUAUCCCCUGCGAACCGCGUCUCCA